rnacentral:rRNA from 1 species
UACAGAGGUCUCAAGCGUUGUUCGGAUUCAUUGGGCGUAAAGGGUGCGUAGGUGGCGCUGUAAGUCGGGUGUGAAAUUUCGGAGCUUAACUCCGAAACUGCAUUCGAUACUGCGGUGCUUGAGGACUGGAGAGGAGACUGGAAUUCAUGGUGUAGCAGUGAAAUGCGUAGAGAUCAUGAGGAAGACCAGUGGCGAAGGCGGGUCUCUGGGACAGUUCCUGACACUGAGGCACGAAGGCCAGGGGGAGCAAACGGG